GGAAAGUUCCUGGGCCAAGAAUGGAACUCUAGUCACAGUAGGGACAAUGCCAGGUCCUUAACCCACUGAGCCACCAGUGAACUCCAAAUCUGCUACUUUGAAAAAGAACUAUUAAUACAUAUAACAUGGAUGACCCUCGAAAUAAUUAUUCCGAAUAAAGGAAGCCAAAAAAAGAGUACAUUCUGUAGAAUCCCAUGUAUGUAAAAUGCAAAAAAUCCAGGUAAUACACAUUAUGGAAAGCAGAUCACUGGCGGUCUUAUUGCAGGAGGGAGCAAUGGAUUAUCAAAGGGCUUGAGGAAAGCUUCGGAGUGAGAAAUAACUUCACGAUCUGGAUUUUGGUGAUGGUUUCAUGACUCUAUACACAUGUUCAAAUUCAUCAAAGUCUAUGACUUAAAUAUAGGCAGUUGUACAUCACUUAACUUCAAUAAGAUGGCAACAAAAGGAUCUGCUAAAAGCCACAUCUGUAUAUGAUCACAGAAUCUCUAUGUGUAGACAGACAUACAUGAAGGACCAGAAAGGUACCUGAUAGACAUACAUCACAACAGGGGUUACCAGGGGGGAAGGGGGAGGAGGGGCCCUGAAAAGGGAGUAUCCCUUUUACACUAUAUGCUCCUACAUUUGUUCCAUUUUGUAUGAGAUGAUCUAUAUGGAAUUUCAACAAAAGCUCAGAACAUCAUUUUUCAUUUCAGAAUAGCUAAAUAAACAUUCAACAGCAAUAACAACACCAACUCCCAAAAUAAAAUGCCCCUGUUUGAUAGGGAGGAUCUUAAGCCGGUAGAGGCAUGGACUCUGCAAAGCAGAAGCAACCUGGACGAGGGAGCAUCACGAUGACUAUUUUGAGGGCCAAGAAGAGGGGCAGUGGGGGUGUGAGGCACCCAGUCCUGGGGAGACCUGCUCUGCCCUGACUUGGGGACAUAGGGGUCAAGGACAGACAAAUCAGAGCCAACCCAGGGCCGUUCUUCUGCCUCACAGGGAAGCGGGGCCAGCCCCUCGCUCUUGAGGGCAGCUUUCCUGUCACUGCAGUGAGGGAUGCCCUGUGAGCAUGCUCCUGCCCUGAGAGUCUGGGAUUCUUUGUCUCUACAUGCAGUUCCCUCCCCAGUUACAACCUGAAGACUUCGCAUUUUUCUUUUCACUUUUUCAUUUUAGGCUGCACUUUUGACAUAUGGAAGUCGUCGGGCUAGAGGUUACAUCGGAGAUGUACCUGCCAGCCUACAACAAGUCAUAGUAACACUGGAAACAAGUAGCAUCUGUAACCCACACCACAGCUCAUGGCAAUGCCAGAUCCUUAACCCACUGAUGAGGCCAGGGACCGAACUCGCAUCCUCAUGGAUAUUAGUUGGGUGGUCCAUUACUGCUGAACCACAAUGGGAACUCCAGACUUCUCAUUCUGAAGGUCCCUGGGACAGCUGAGCCAAGACCUCCCACUCUCCUGGAAAGCUACUCUGC
rnacentral:lncRNA from 1 species